rnacentral:rRNA from 1 species
CAAGUUAGCGAGAUGUGAAAUCCCAAGGCUCAACCUUGGAACUGCAUUUCGAACUGCUCGACUAGAGAAUGUGAGAGGAAACUGGAAUUCCAGGUGUAGGAGUGAAAUCCGUAGAUAUCUGGAGGAACACCAAUGGCGAAGGCAGGUUUCUGGCACAUUUCUGACGCUGAGGCACGAAAGCGUGGGGAGCGAACGGGAUUAGAUACCCCGGUAGUCCACGCCGUAAACGAUGGAUGCUA